rnacentral:rRNA from 1 species
AGCAGCCGCGGUAAUUCCAGCUCCAAUAGCGUAUAUUAAAGUUGCUGCAGUUAAAAAAGCUCGUAGUUGAAUUUCGGGACCAUCAUGUCGGUCGUGCCUCGGUACGUACUGGCAUUGUUGGUUUCUCCCUUCUGACGAACCACGAUGUCAUUUUAUUUGGUGUUGUGGGGAAUCAGGACUGUUACUUUGAAAAAAAUUAGAGUGUUUAAAGCAGGCUCACGCUUGAAUACAUUAGCAUGGAAUAAUGAAAUAGGACGUUUGAUUCUAUUUUGUUGGUUUCUAGGAUCGACGUAAUGAUUAAUAGGGAUAGUUGGGGGGCAUUAGUAUUCAAUUGUCAGAGGUGAAAUUCUUGGAUUUAUUGAAGACUAACUACUGCGAAAGCAUUUGCCAAGGAUGUUUUCAUUAAUCAAGAACGAAAGUUAGGGGAUCGAAGACGAUCAGAUACCGUCGUAGUCUUAACCAUAAACUNUAGCCGACUAGGGAUCGGAUGAUGUUUAAUUUUUAAUGACUCAUUCGGCGU